UAAAACCUUGAUGUACACCUUAACCAGCUGACCUUGAUUAAUUCACAUUACCAACCAUGGAUAAAAAAAAGAUGAAACGUGUAAUUACAGGAUUGGUUCAUAAAUAAUAUAAAGAGGAAGGACAUUGCUCAUUUUAUUUGCACCACCAUACAAACAAACACACACAACAAUCUAAGAGCAAAAUCAAACAUGUCUCCUAAAGUGUCACUCUAUCUUGUAGUAUUAGGCUUGGUGCUUCUAGUAGCAUCAACUACUACCAUGGCUGAUCAUUAUCAUGAUCAUGAUCAUGAUCAUGAUCACUACCAUCACCACUAUCCACCAAAGAAACACUGGCCUCCAACCACCACACAUGUGACGGACCAGGAAACACCACAAAGCAGUGAAGCACAGGAGGAUACCUACCAUCACAAGCCUCCUUAUCAUCACAAACCACCUUACCAUCACAAGCCUCCAACCAAAAAUUAAUAAUAUUUAUGUGAAGCUACUUAUUCCGUGCACUCUGUGGACCAUGGACUAUAUGAUAUGAUAUGAUAUGAAUAUAUAUAUGAUAAGACUUGAAGUCGUGAAAAUAAUAGCUUCAUUAUUCUACGUUAUUUAUGUUUAUCUUUUGCUGUUGUGUGUAUCUGAACUUUGGUUAUAUAUGUAUGUCGAAAAGAAAUAAAGCUGUAGCAUGUGCUACGUGUAUGCAUGUGAUAUGAUUGGAUUUCGAAUUUUCAUUUCUUUCCAUUUAUGUAAACUUCUUCUGUAAUCGUUGAUAUUAUUUAUGAAAUAAUAAUAAAUAGUGUUUCCAUUGUUGUUGUUCUGGAUAUGAUCAAUCUUGUGCAUACAUUGAAAAUUUGAAAUACUACCAAUACG
rnacentral:lncRNA from 1 species